UGCAGUCGAGCGGAGAGAGGUUAGCUUGCUACUGAUCUUAGCGGCGGACGGGUGAGUAAUACUUAGGAAUCUGGCUAUUAGUGGGGGACAACAUUUCGAAAGGGAUGCUAAUACCGCAUACGUCCUACGGGAGAAAGCAGGGGAUCUUCGGACCUUGCGCUAAUAGAUGAGCCUAAGUCGGAUUAGCUAGUUGGUGGGGUAAAGGCCUACCAAGGCGACGAUCUGUAGCGGGUCUGAGAGGAUGAUCCGCCACACUGGGACUGAGACACGGCCCAGACUCCUACGGGAGGCAGCAGUGGGGAAUAUUGGACAAUGGGGGGAACCCUGAUCCAGCCAUGCCGCGUGUGUGAAGAAGGCCUUAUGGUUGUAAAGCACUUUAAGCGAGGAGGAGGGUACUGGUAUUAAUACUACCAGGUACUGGACGUUACUCGCAGAAUAAGCACCGGCUAACUCUGUGCCAGCAGCCGCGGUAAUACAGAGGGUGCGAGCGUUAAUCGGAUUUACUGGGCGUAAAGCGUGCGUAGGCGGCUAAUUGAGUCGGAUGUGAAAUCCCCGAGCUUAACUUGGGAAUUGCAUUCGAUACUGGUUAGCUAGAGUGUGGGAGAGGAUGGUAGAAUUC
rnacentral:rRNA from 1 species